rnacentral:rRNA from 1 species
AUUGAACGCUGGCGGCAUGCCUUACACAUGCAAGUCGAACGGUAACAGGUCUUCGGAUGCUGACGAGUGGCGAACGGGUGAGUAAUACAUCGGAACGUACCCGAUCGUGGGGGAUAACGAAGCGAAAGCUUUGCUAAUACCGCAUAAGAUCUACGGAUGAAAGCAGGGGACCGCAAGGCCUUGCGCGAACGGAGCGGCCGAUGGCAGAUUAGGUAGUUGGUGGGAUAAAAGCUUACCAAGCCGACGAUCUGUAGCUGGUCUGAGAGGACGACCAGCCACACUGGGACUGAGACACGGCCCAGACUCCUACGGGAGGCAGCAGUGGGGAAUUUUGGACAAUGGGCGAAAGCCUGAUCCAGCCAUGCCGCGUGCAGGAUGAAGGCCUUCGGGUUGUAAACUGCUUUUGUACGGAACGAAAAGACUCUUUCUAAUAAAGAGGGUCCAUGACGGUACCGUAAGAAUAAGCACCGGCUAACUACGUGCCAGCCGCCGCCGUAA